UACGUAGGGGGCAAGCGUUAUCCGGAUUUACUGGGUGUAAAGGGAGCGUAGACGGCAUAGCAAGUCUGAAGUGAAAGCCCGUGGCUCAACCGCGGAACUGCUUUGGAAACUGUUAAGCUGGAGUACUGGAGAGGCAAGCGGAAUUCCUAGUGUAGCGGUGAAAUGCGUAGAUAUCAGGAGGAACACCGGCGGCGAAGGCGGCCUGCUGGACCGUGACUGACGUUGAGGCUCGAAAGCGUGGGGAGCAAACAGG
rnacentral:rRNA from 1 species